UUUAAAAUUUUAUUCCACAACCUUAAUUUCUCUUCACAAUGUUUUAAUCAAUAUAAAAUAUACUUGUUUUCAUCAAUGAUGCUUUUUACUUUGUUUCGACAUGCCAAAUAGGCAGCAACACAUCACAUACAAGACAGAGCGGUUAGUACAUCAUUAGAUUCACAAUAUAAUGUAAUUUAUACAAAAUGUCAUGACUUUGAAAGUUUUACUCGUUUGUUAAAUGAAUCUUAAUCAACCAAACACAGAACACGAUUAUAAUCUUUUCUUAAUUUGUUUUCUACUUUCUUUAUUCAGAAAAUGCACCAAGGAACGCUUCCCCGUAUUUGGACGACAAUAAAAGUCUCCCAGUUACUUAUCUUGUCGAUUGUAAAAUCCCUGAAGUUAGUUAUCUUGGAACACAAAACGUGACAGAGCGAGGGUUUGAGUGCCAGGCGUGGGACAAACAGUAUCCACACAGACACAGCUACGGAUCCUACCCCGGGGCUCGUGAGAAUUAUUGCAGAGAUUUUGAUUCUGACGAACCGUGGUGCUUGACAACGAACAGAAAAGUGGUCUGGGAUCGGUGCAUAGUGCCUUCGUGUGGGGUAAAUGUGACAGCGAAUUCUUCCUCAUGUGCGUCUAUCGAUGAAUUGGAUAUAUCUGAACUGAAGAACGAAAGAAGUUGUGGAUCCUACUGCAACUGGAUUAGAACAACUAUAAAUGACGCAAUAACAAAAAGAAAUCUGCAAAAUGGACGUACAUGUGGAAUUCGGGACAAGAAGAAAAUAGUUCGUAAACACGAGCAGCUUCUUCAAAGGGGCACCUAUACACCAUGGAUGUGCUCCAUCUCAAUAUUUGACGGCAAUAAAGAUGAUUGCAUUACCCCAGAACAUCAAGAACCGGGCGUUCAAUGGAACAAG